rnacentral:lncRNA from 1 species
GCAGCUGCGUUAUUAGAGCUCCACGGCGGAUCUCGGGGCUCUUCUGCUCGCUUUUUUUCCUCUUCAGAAAUUAAAGCAGAGGAGCAUCUGAAAGUGGAAAGGUCCCCCUUCUGGUAGGAUGGAUGUAAAAGGAGGCAACAAUUUGUUCUUGAGGGGGCAAAAAAAAAAAAAAAAAAAAAGAAAAAGAAAAAGAAAAAGAAAGGAGGGGGGAAAUUCAUUGCUUGGCUUUUGCAUUGUCGGACUUUAAAAAAGUGUGUCUGCUGUUGUUGCCCGGACUCGGGAAAUCUUUUUUAUGGCAACCGCAGACCUGCCAAGUCUCUCUUACUUGGAAUCUUUAUAAAGGCAAGUUAUUUGGACUUUUUUUUUAUUUUCUCGUUUAGAGAAAGUCAUUGAUGCUGACGAAUGUCAUAAUGUGAUUCAAAAGAGACAGCUUUGAGUUCACUUUUUUAACAUUCUCAAAUUGACAUAGAUCUUUGUCCAGAAAAUAAAGCUUUCUGUUGAUUUUUUCUUUAAGCAAGAGGUAAGGAAAUAUGCACUUAAGAAUAUGUGUACAAGAAAAUAGUUUCUAAAAUAAAUUGAAAUGUCUGCAGGUCGGUGGGAAUUUUUGUUUCUUUUCGCAGUUUUGUUUUCUAACUUUUCACCUGCUCCCAUCGCAAAACAAGAAACCAUCACCUGUUUCCUUCUUUUACCUUAUCUUAAGGGAAAGGAUGUUUUAGUAUUAUUAUUGUUGUUGCUAUUUAUUGAUUGGACACGCUUGUCAAGUUAUAAAUGCCUGAGAGGGCUACCAAGUAGAGCUUAGAUUCACAAGUCUUGGUGGAAAUUAAGAGAUUCAGAAUACGGUUAAUUACACAAAACAGGCAGAAUUUUGUACAAAUACUAUUGUUCUUAAUCAGAUUUUAAAAAUUCUCCGUUCUGUAAAAUUAAGGUACAGCUAUCUAUUAAGCCACCAUGCAAAGACAUCAAAGCUUUAAGGAAGUUGUAUUUUUUCCAGUCUAACCUGUAAACUGCCUGGACCCUCAUGUGGAUAGCUGCAAAUACAGUAUGUUUUUUUUCAAUAUCUUCAUUAUAAUUAAAUGAGUUUUCAAUCCAUCUGCAGUAAUUCCUAAAGUGAAAUCAUAGUUGUAGUCAAAUUUAACUUUGCAUGACUGUGAAAUAAAGCAACUUUUGUUGCAGAAUCUGUGUUGGUACAUUAAGGAUUCUAGAUUUUAUACAUAACCUUAUACAUUCAUUUUCACAGAAAUCAUUCAGAAAGGGAAAAAUGUGUAAACACCAAGUUUUUACAAGACUUUCCUUUCGUGUGGUAGCCAUAUGUGUGCAGAAUACUAUGGUGCCAUGUAUGUGUGGUCCCAAGUUAUGUGUGAUAUUAUCUAAAAUAUUGAUGGCAUCUAAUCCUGGUUUUAUUGGAAAGUGAAAAAUUGCUAACGUAAUACUAACGCGUACCCUAAUUUGUUAAAGUUUUCUAUAUGGGUUGAUUUUUUUUGUUUCUUUCUCAAAGUAGUCUACUUUGCUUUACUCUAAAAUUGUUCUUUCAUUUCCCAAUGUUAGUAUUUCUGUUGCCUUCCUCUAUUAAGAGAUAAAUAAAACCCUUAGCUCAGAGAUUUAGAUCUGGCUCAAGAGCCUGAUAUUUCAGUUUGGGAUAGUACUGCAUAGCAUUUUAAGGGAGGUUAAAGCACCAACCACCCAAAAGACAAACAUAAAAACUAUUUUAACCUAAAUCUGUCAAAUAUUGACCUAUACAGAUAGGUAAAAUGCUUUUGAAACGUAUCUUUAAAUACUUUAAUUUCCUCCCCCCAAGUUACCAAGGGGGGGAAGAUCAUUGAUUAUGUUUCUAAACAUAAACCCCAACAUCCACCCAUGAAGCCAAAGCCAUCAUCUCUGAGCAGAAUGCAGCAACUUUGUGAAUAUUUGGAUGCUGUUGUUGAUGAUGGGGUAAUAAUGCAUAAAGAACCAUGUGCAAGGAAUUUUACUAAAGACAAGACAAAUAUUUUCUUAGGUCUCAUUAAGGGGUCUUGAAGUCCAAGAUAAAACAUCACCCAUUCUACCUUUUGGAGGGACAGAUCUGGUAGGCAAAACUCCCACUGAUUUCAGCAUCCCUUACCACCGUAUUCCAUGUGAAUUAAUCAAUUAUGUGGAAUUGGUGAGCACUUGGAUUUCAUUAAACACUGCUGAGUAGCCUCGCAAUUACUUUCCAUGCUUCGUAUAUAAACAGACACCAAAAAUGUAAACUGUCCAAUUCACCUGAUAGAGGCUACACAGAUGCUAAAGAAGGAAAACUAAGAUUUGUCUUUCUUUGGACGAUGCGAAAAAGCAUAAUUAGCCACUGCAGAAAGGUAAACAUGCCUAACUGAUAAACAUUUUUUCAUGCUUAACAAAAUUCAUUUUGGGAAUAGUAAACUACUAUAUAUUCAGUUAUUUAUCCCCCAACUUUUAAAUGUAUUAUUCUCAUUCUUAAAACUGGAAACCAGCUACAAUGAGAACGUCAUUCAUUUUCAUUCAACAGUUUUUUGAACAUCAUCAUCCAACAAAUUGUGCUGUCCUCCAAAUAACCUAUUUAACAUCUCCUGAAUAACCAGCAAAAACAUAUAAAGCUUAUAAAUUUUAGGUAUUAUUUACAAAUAACCUGAAUAGUAGUAUAAAGUUUAAAAUGAGACAGACCCUUCAUUACCGAGUUCUAUUAAGAACUUAAGUAGCUACAUAAUUAAACUUUCCAUUUCGUAUUAACAUAUGAUUGAUUUAACUUCUGGCUCUUUUCAUGCAUUGACUCCACAGCACCUACUUUUAAGAUAUUUUGCACUUUUCAGAAUGUCUUGCAUUGGUGAAACAAACAAUAUCUGGAACUGAGACUCUUACUUGAAAAAAAGAUUAACGUUUUUUCAACUGUUAAUUCCAACAAUAAAGAUAUUGCUAAAGGAGGGAUUAAUGUUAAAGGAAACCUGUGUCCAUGAAACUUGACCUCAAAGGAAUUAAUUACAGAAAACACAUUAGGUACCAGUUCAAGUAAAUCUCCAAUUUUAAAAUGUCAGUUGCAAAGCAUAAAUUGUCUUUGAUAAGUUAUAAGUAAUAGUGUCAAAGUUGCAAUCUGGCAUCUAAACCAAUUACAAAGAGAAUACUCUGCUCAUAAUUUUAUAUAAAUAUCCUUAGCACAUGUCUACUUAUCUGUACAACAAUUUCAUGUAAUAUUUUAAGAUUUUCAAGACCGAUUUCGGAUUUUUUUUAAUAUUGAAAGUUAGUUCAAAUCUAGUGUAUUACCUGCCUGAGUAAUAUGACUGUAUCAGUCAUAUUACUCCACAGAAGCUUUCUUUUAAAGGAGGAGCAUUUUUAACAAGAGUUAAAUUAAAAGUCCUAUGAAAGGGCAGUUUAAUCAAAGUCCAUCUGAAUCUAAUGUGUGUGUCUGUGUCUGUGUGUUUAAAAUAUAAAAUAUAUGUGUGUGUUAUAUAUGUAUAUACAUCCACGUAUAUACAUAUUAACACAUUAUUGUUAGAACAACAUAUAAGGGACUUUUAAAUUAACAUUUGUGCAAAGUAUUAGUGAUGCAUUUGGAAAGGCAAUAUUUUUAGUCCACAAAAACUAUACUCAGUUCCCAGUUCCUUUAAUUGUCCACCAUCUAAUUCUCAGUAAGUUACUUAAUAUCCAUCCUGCAUACUCAUAACCACACUCUACCUCUUAAUCUAUGAAAUGGGUAGCAAUGUUUGAAUGCAAAAGCAUUUAAGAACGUCACAUGGAAAAAUCCACAUUAAAUAUAUAAAUAUGGCAAAUGUAUUUUGUCAUUAUGAAUAACAAAUUCUAUUUUCAAUCUUUUUUUAGUCUUAUUUACUUGACUUCUUUUCUUUCAUAAAAUCUGAGUCAUUAAACCCCUUUAAAAAAAAUUCUGAUACAGAUGCGUUGAGGACUUUUCUACUUGGUGGUGGACUAUAUCCAAAAAGGUAAAGUUUUUUAAAUGCACACUAUACAUUAUUCAUUUAUUUUAUAAUACACGAAUUCAUUGAAAUUUAAAGAUUUAAUUUCAACAUGUAUAGAAACGUUUAAAACUAGAGGUUUCACAUUGUCAUCUUUUCUUACUGAGGCUUUCAUAACCACUGCAAAGGUCCUUAUUGAGCCACUAAAACAAUAAAAGAGAGAAAAUAUCCUUUCUUCACACAGAAAUUGCGAAAAGAAAAGAGGGAUCUUUCAGUAGAAUAAUAUUUGCAAGCUACUUUUAAAGGUAACUGAAAGGUGAGGCAUCAUCUUAAGAAAAGAGAUUGUAGCAUAUUAGAAAAACCAGAUAGUACUGAUUUGUGAAUUCUAAAGAAUUAAGGAUAUAGAUAAGUGAUCUACUAAC